rnacentral:rRNA from 1 species
AUUGAACGCUGGCGGCAUGCCUUACACAUGCAAGUCGAACGGUAACGCGGGGCAACCUGGCGACGAGUGGCGAACGGGUGAGUAAAGCAUCGGAACGUGCCCAGUAGUGGGGGAUAGCCCGGCGAAAGCCGGAUUAAUACCGCAUACGACCUAUGGGUGAAAGGGGGGGAUCGCAAGACCUCUCGCUAUUGGAGCGGCCGAUGUCAGAUUAGGUAGUUGGUGGGGUAAAGGCCUACCAAGCCGACGAACUGUAGCUGGUCUGAGAGGACGACCGGCCACCCUGGGACUGAGACACGGCCCAGACUCCUACGGGAGGCAGCAGUGGGGAAUUUUGGACAAUGGGCGCAAGCCUGAUCCAGCCAUGCCGCGUGCGGGAAGAAGGCCUUCGGGUUGUAAACCGCUUUUGUCAGGGAAGAAAUCCUUUGGGUUAAUACCUCGGGGGGAUGACGGUACCUGAAGAAUAAGCACCGGCUAACUACGUGCCAGCAGCCGCCGUAA